UGUAGUUUUUUGCUCGGAAAGGAAUGAAAAAAGUGGACGGAGAAGGUUUUCAGUCAUUAAGAUGCCAGAACGAUGUCCUCAAAACACAAUGUGUCAGUGUCCAUUACCCUGCUGAAAGAGGCCAGCGCCAUCAGGGAAUACCUCUGCCAUGAACAGGAGUGCAACAGUGUUUAUGUGGUUGACCUUCUGGACCAUGAUUAGGCUCAAGACGGGAUCAGACCCGUUUGAUCCGCUCUGGAUUCUGUAUCGAUCAUACCAGCAUGAAGAUUUUCGCUGAGUACAGUAGCUCUCCUGUGGGAGUGGGACACACAUGUGUGUGAAGUGCACAAACACCCAAAUGUUACUCUUACUAAUGACUGAUAUAAUAACGGUCUCAUUCCAAAGCCAUGUGCAUUAACAUGGUGGUGGUGCAUCCACAAAGUUGGCCAUAUAAUAUGUUAUAGGUGGAAAUUUGGCAGGUGCACAGAUUUCAAAGCCAUUCAAAACAAUUUUGAUUCUGACCU